UCAUCCAAGAACUUUUGAAGAAAUGGAGUUGGGAAUGAGGAGCUGAAGUAAUAUGCACCAGAAAAUCAAAAUUAUCUCUGUAAAUAUGGAGAUAUGGAAACUCUUCAAAAUCAAUCAAGCCGUUUGGGAAUCGGCUGUGGAAGCCUGAGCGAAACUGCCUCCCGGUCAUGUGGUCCCACCUUCCAAAAGGAUGGUUUCUGACGAGGGAGGCAAAUCAGCGCCAAACCCAUCACCCAGAUUGGCGCUCCCCCUGCACAGGCCGCCUCCGCCCUCCCUCUCCGGGAGGGUCCAGGGCCCCGGAGCGGCGGGCGGGCUGCGCG